UUCGCCCUUUGCCAGCAGCCGCGGUAAGACGAACCGUGCGGACGUUGUUCGGAAUCACUGGGCUUAAAGGGCGCGUAGGCGGGUUGYCAAGUCUGUGGUGAAAUCCUCCAGCUUAACUGGAGAACUGCCGUGGAUACUGGCGAUCUUGAGGRAGAUAGGGGCGUGCGGAACUGUSCRUGRARCGGUGAAAUGCGUUGAUAUGCACAGGAACUCCGGUGGCGAAGGCGGCACGCUGGAUCUCUUCUAACGCUGAGGCGCGAAAGCUAGGGUAGCRAACGGGAUUAGAUACC
rnacentral:rRNA from 1 species